ACUUUGUUCAUCUCAUGCCUCUACUCAUCAGCGCCCUUCUUUCUUUGACUAGUGCAGAUUAUGAAGUGGUUUCGAGAAGAAGAAGAAAGUAGAACGAGUGUAAUUCGGUUUGUCAUUUUUCUUCUUUUUCCACUCUGCCUCCAGAUUCAAAGCCUAGAAGCCAAGAUGGAAACCUACCAAUGUCACCUGAAUGGCAGUAUGGAUAACAGCUAGACCUCCAGAAAUGGAUAUUCCACUAACAUUAAAGGAGUAUUGAGAAUCUGUACCAGGUAUGUUCAGCACCACAUAAAGGACAUACCAGCUUAGUGCACCUGGUAAAUUCCUCAUCGCUGAAAUUGUCAAAGAGCUGGAUAAACCAGAAAGACUGAUAACUCAUGUUGGACUUUUUGUAAAAUUUGAACAGAACUCCUGUGGGAGCAGUUAUAAUUUACCAACUGAAUUUUUG
rnacentral:lncRNA from 1 species